rnacentral:lncRNA from 1 species
AGUUCCUGAUUGGAUGAAGUUGACCCACACUUGUUCCAUCGUAAUAAAAUUCUCCCUUUGGAUUUACGACCUCCUCCAAAAGGAAUCCACAUAGUUGUUCUUGAAUUGCCCUGAGUCAUUCUGGGGCGAUGAGAUCUUCUCUCAUUUCAGAAAUCUGUCACGUGCAAAUUUACUUCACCAUUUUAAACCACUAUAUGUGCAGAAUGAAAAAUAUUGAAUUGUGUUUACGUACUUGGUUUUCACGGUCUGUUAUUUGCUUGGGACCUACAAAGCCGUGGAUGAGUUCAAAACAGUAGGAUCCACAUAAGUUGUUUCCA